UAAGUAUAAAAAAAAAAAAAAAACAAAUAAGAUUAGUGUGGGUUGAAUAAAUACUAACCUUAUUCAUCAUUAAUAUUUAUACUUAUUUAAGUUAGCAUUGGUUAAUCUAUAUAGAUACUCAAUCUUCAUAUUAAAUAUGGAUCACAUAUUAUUUUUAAUCUAAAGACCUAAAUUUAAAGAUUAUAAGUCUCCUCAUUCAUUAUUUUCUUUUCUCAUUUUAUAUAAAUUUCAUCACAGUCUUCUUCUUUAACAAUAAUAAAUCUCCUCCCACUCAUAUCUUUCAUUUAGAGAUCUUUUUCUUUCACAUUUAUAAAUCUCUUCACACUCAAAUCUCUCAUCCAUACUCAUCUUCUUUACACACUAAUAAAUCUCCUCACACUCAUAUCUUUCACUCACACCUAUAUUCUUCACCCACAUUCAUUUCCUUCAUCUUUUUCAUCCACACAUCUCCUUCAUAUACAUUUUUUUCCUCAUCUCCUUCAUCAACUAUAAUUUUUACUUUUCUUUUUGCUUAUAUUAUUUGAAUAUGAAGGUACUGUCAUGAAAUAUGGCUUGACACUUGUAUUGUCAACAUAAA
rnacentral:lncRNA from 1 species